rnacentral:rRNA from 1 species
UACGUAGGGGGCAAGCGUUGUCCGGAAUUAUUGGGCGUAAAGCGCGCGCAGGCGGUUCUUUAAGUCUGGUGUUUAAGUGCGGGGCUCAACCCCGUGACGCACUGGAAACUGGGGAACUUGAGUGCAGAAGAGGAGAGCGGAAUUCCACGUGUAGCGGUGAAAUGCGUAGAGAUGUGGAGGAACACCAGUGGCGAAGGCGGCUCUCUGGACUGUAACUGACGCUGAGGCGCGAAAGCGUGGGGAGCGAACAGG